GCGGGUCUUGUUGCCCCGGAAGCGCCCUGACUUCCGGUCGGGCCCACGGAUUCCCGGCGGCGGAGGUGGCGUCCUCCACCGUCCGGUGGUCUCGGAGGCGAUGUUUUACCACAUCUCCUUGGAGCACGAGAUCUUGCUGCAUCCGCGCUACUUCGGGCCGAACCUCCUCAACACGGUCAAGCAGAAGCUGUUCACCGAGGUGGAGGGCACGUGCACGGGCAAGACUCCGGGAGAGGAGUGGAGAGGCUGCGGACCUGGGUUGGAUGCCCAGCUCUGUGGCCUGCCAGUGAGCUGCACAGUGAGGGUCUGCACCCUGCCCCCCUGCCCUCCAGGUAUGGCUUUGUGAUUGCGGUCACCACCAUUGACAACAUUGGGGCUGGGGUGAUCCAGCCUGGGCGAGGAUUUGUGCUGUAUCCGGUCAAGUACAAAGCCAUCGUCUUCCGUCCCUUCAAGGGCGAGGUCGUGGAUGCUGUUGUCACUCAGGUCAACAAGGUGGGACUCUUCACAGAGAUUGGACCCAUGUCUUGCUUCAUCUCUCGACAUUCCAUCCCCUCGGAGAUGGAAUUUGAUCCCAACUCUAACCCUCCAUGUUACAAAACAGUGGAUGAGGACAUUGUGAUUCAGCAGGACGAUGAAAUCCGCCUAAAGAUUGUGGGAACCCGGGUGGAUAAGAACGAUAUUUUUGCUAUUGGCUCCUUGAUGGAUGACUACCUGGGUCUUGUAAGCUGAGUGGAGAGGUCCUCUUCCAUGUUUAAUUUUGGUCUUCAGCGAGUCAUGACAGGCCAGCUUUCAUCGUCCCCCAGACUGGGCCCUGCUGCCCUUUGGAAGUCUGGAGGAGGAAGGUUCUUUGUCUCUGGGAGACUUCUGGCCUUUUCUGAUUCUCUUCAGAGGGCUGUUAACCUCUUGUAGCUUAGAUAAAGGCUCUUGGUGCUCGGGGCAGCCCAGUGUCUGUCAUCUUGGUGGUAAUGGGCUCCUAAUAAAUGUCAGAUUUUAUCAAUUC